UUCCGGUUGAUCCUGCCGGACCUGACUGCUAUCGGAUUGAUACUAAGCCAUGCGAGUCAUUGUAGCAAUACAAGGCAUACGGCUCAGUAACGCGUAGUCAACCUAACCUAUGGAUGGGAAUAACCUCGGGAAACUGAGAAUAAUGCCCGAUAGAACACUAUGCCUGGAAUGGUUUGUGUUCCAAAUGAUUUAUCGCCGUAGGAUGGGACUGCGGCCUAUCAGUUUGUUGGUGAGGUAAUGGCCCACCAAGACUAUUACAGGUACGGGCUCUGAGAGGAGUAGCCCGGAGAUGGGUACUGAGACACGGACCCAGGCCCUAUGGGGCGCAGCAGGCGAGAAAACUUUGCAAUGUGCGAAAGCACGACAAGGUUAAUCCGAGUGGUUUGUGCUAAACAGACCUUUUGUUAGUCCUAGAAACACUAACGAAUAAGGGGUGGGCAAGUUCUGGUGUCAGCCGCCGCGGUAAAACCAGCACCUCAAGUGGUCAGGAUGAUUAUUGGGCCUAAAGCAUCCGUAGCCGGCUCUGUAAGUUUUCGGUUAAAUCUGUAUGCUCAACAUACAGGCUGCCGGGAAUACUGCAGAGCUAGGGAGUGGGAGAGGUAGACGGUACUCGGUAGGAAGGGGUAAAAUCCUUUGAUCUAUUGAUGACCACCUGUGGCGAAGGCGGUCUACCAGAACACGUCCGACGGUGAGGGAUGAAAGCUGGGGGAGCAAACCGGAUUAGAUACCCGGGUAGUCCCAGCUGUAAACUAUGCAAACUCAGUGAUGCAUUGGCUUGUGGCCAAUGCAGUGCUGCAGGGAAGCCGUUAAGUUUGCCGCCUGGGAAGUACGUACGCAAGUAUGAAACUUAAAGGAAUUGGCGGGGGAGCACCACAAGGGGUGAAGCCUGCGGUUCAAUUGGAGUCAACGCCGGG
rnacentral:rRNA from 1 species